CCUACGGGAGGCAGCAGUGGGGAAUAUUGCACAAUGGACGAAAGUCUGAUGCAGCAACGCCGCGUGGAGGAUGACACAUUUCGGUGCGUAAACUCCUUUUAUAUAAGAAGAUAAUGACGGUAUUAUAUGAAUAAGCACCGGCUAACUACGUGCCAGCAGCCGCGGUAAU
rnacentral:rRNA from 1 species